rnacentral:rRNA from 1 species
UACGUAGGGUGCAAGCGUUAAUCGGAAUUACUGGGCGUAAAGCGUGCGCAGGCGGUUGUGCAAGACAGAUGUGAAAGCCCCGGGCUUAACCUGGGAAUGGCAUUUGAGACUGCAUAGCUAGGGUGCGGAAGAGGGAAGCGGAAUUUCCGGUGUAGCGGUGAAAUGCGUAGAUAUCGGAAGGAACACCAGUGGCGAAAGCGGCUUCCUGGUCCAGCACCGACGUUCAGGCACGAAAGCGUGGGGAGCAAACAGG